CGAUGCCUACGGGGCGCAGCAGUGAGGAAUAUUGGUCAAUGGGCGGGAGCCUGAACCAGCCAAGUCGCGUGAGGGAAGACGGUCCUAUGGAUUGUAAACCUCUUUAGGCGGGGAGCAAUGCCGGGCACGCGUGCCCGGAGGGAGAGUACCCGCAGAAUAAGCAUCGGCUAACUCCGUGCCAGCAGCCGCGGUAAUACGGAGGAUGCGAGCGUUAUCCGGAUUUAUUGGGUUUAAAGGGUGCGUAGGCGGAUUUUUAAGUCAGCUGUGAAAGUCCGCGGCUCAACCGUGGAAUUGCAGUUGAAACU
rnacentral:rRNA from 1 species